UGUGGCUGGGGGUGAAAGGCCAAUCAAACCGGGAGAUAGCUGGUUCUCCCCGAAAGCUAUUUAGGUAGCGCCUCGUGAAUUCAUCUUCGGGGGUAGAGCACUGUUUCGGCCAGGGGGUCAUCCCGACUUACCAACCCGAUGCAAACUGCGAAUACCGAAGAAUGUUAUCACGGGAGACACACGGCGGGUGCUAACGUCCGUCGUGAAGAGGGAAACAACCCAGACCGCCAGCUAAGGUCCCAAAGUCACAGUUAAGUGGGAAACGAUGUGGGAAGGCUCAGACAGCCAGGAUGUUGGCUUAGAAGCAGCCAUCAUUUAAAGAAAGCGUAAUAGCUCACUGGUCGAGUCGGCCUGCGCGGAAGAUGUAACGGGGCUAAACUGUGCACCGAAGCUGCGGCAGCGACGCUUAUGCGUUGUUGGGUAGGGGAGCGUUCUGUAAGCCUGCGAAGGUGUCCUGUGAGGGAUGCUGGAGGUAUCAGAAGUGCGAAUGCUGACAUAAGUAACGAUAAUGCGGGUGAAAAACCCGCACGCCGGAAGACCAAGGGUUCCUGUCCAACGUUAAUCGGGGCAGGGUGAGUCGACCCCUAAGGCGAGGCCGAAAGGCGUAGUCGAUGGGAAACGGGUUAAUAUUCCCGUACUUGGUGUUACUGCGAAGGGGGGACGGAGAAGGCUAUGUUGGCCGGGCGACGGUUGUCCCGGUUUAAGCGUGUAGGCUGGUUUUCCAGGCAAAUCCGGAAAAUCAAGGCUGAGGCGUGAUGACGAGGCACUACGGUGCUGAAGCAACAAAUGCCCUGCUUCCAGGAAAAGCCUCUAAGCAUCAGGUAACAUCAAAUCGUACCCCAAACCGACACAGGUGGUCAGGUAGAGAAUACCAAGGCGCUUGAGAGAACUCGGGUGAAGGAACUAGGCAAAAUGGUGCCGUAACUUCGGGAGAAGGCACGCUGACA
rnacentral:rRNA from 1 species